GUAUAGGUAGAAACGAGAGAAAGAAGAGGGAUAAAGGAGACAGAAGAGGAGUUAUGAGAGAAAAGAUGGAAGUGAUAGAAGUGAUAAGUGGAGUAGUGAUGAAUCAUAUGAAAGAGGGGAUGGAAGAGAUAAGGAAGGAUUAUAUGAAAGAGGAGAUAGUAGGAGAAGGGAUAAGAUGGAUAUAUGUGGGUAUAAUAAGUGGGAUAGUGAUAUGAGGAGGAGAAAGAAGAGGAAAGAGGUGUAUGAUGCAGGCAAAGAAGUGACGCAGUAGAUCAGAGAGUAACACAUGCGAGUGGAGAAGCGAACGGGUGAGUAAAGAGGUGUGAAGGAGUCGAGUAGGAUGAAAGCACAGAGAGAUGUAAGAGAUGGGAAGAGAAAAGCCCAUAAAGGAAGAAAAAGCGAGAAUCUGAGAGGAGGAAAGCCACAUUGGAACUGAGAGAAGGACCAAACGAGAAAAAGUCAGCAGUGGGGAAAAUUGGGCAAUGUACAGGAAAGUAUGACCCAGUAAUGAGGAGUGUAGAAGACAGAAGAGGAAGUAAAAGGAGGAAGAAAGAGGGAAGUUAUGGCAAAAAGACGUGCCAGCAGCAGCGGUAAAACGUGUGUAGCAAGCGUAGAAAAGAGGGACUGGGUGUAAAGGUCGAGUAGUAGAGGAAGUGUAAGAGAGAAGGAAAGGAGAGAAGGAGGAGAGGGAUGAAAUGCGAGGAUCUCAAGAGAAAGGCAAAGAAGAAAAGAAAGGGAGACACAGGAAAUGAGGCGAGAAGGCAUAGGAAGUGAAACGGAUUAGGGACCCGUGUAGUCUAUGCAGUAAAAGAAAGAAUGAGAAAGAAGAAAGGGAGUCAUUCCACCAGGGGAGUAAAGACGCAAGAAAGAAACCCAAAGCAAUUGACGGGAAUCGGAAAAAGGGGUGGAUCACGUAAAUUAAUCCGAUGUAAAACGGGAACCUUACCUAUCCAAGAAGGUGUUGCACGGCUGUCGAAAGAGCGUGCUGUGAAGUGAGAAAACGUACGAGAGAGCCAAGAGAGGAAAAGAAGGCAAGUAGAGGGCGGCCCGAGAAAGGAUAGGGCGUAAGACGUGAGACAGAGUAGGAAGCAAAGAGAAGAGAGAAGUAAAAAAGAAAAAGAAGAGAGAAAGGACUAGAAGAGGUACGGAGAGCACGAGGAAGAAGCGUGAAGGAAGGAGGAAUCCCAAGUAAUCGAGGAAGAGAAAGCUGCGGUGAAAGAGUGAACGGAUUUUGUACACACUGCCCGUCAAGUUCUGGGAGUGUGCUAGGAAUAAGCAAGAAUAGUAGAAGAGAGAAAGAAAAGAAGAAAGGAAGUAAAGAUGAAAAAAAGCGAAAAAAAAGCGUAUGACUGGAAUUAAGUCGUAACAAGGUAGGCGUAGGAGAACCUGUGGCUGAAGA